ensembl:lncRNA
CACUUCUCCACGCAAGGAUAUGAUUCCUCCCCAUCCCUUCCCAGUCCAACAGAAAAAACCCAGCCCCUGAACCAGGCAGGAGUGAUGCUGGCAAAAUCCUCCCCCUCCAAACCCUUGGCAUCAGCUUGUGCAAGAAUCAUAGAAUCAGAGAGUCAAGAGGUGAGGAAACAGCCGCGUCACACGGGAACAGCUGAGCUACACUGAACAACAGCCAGCAACAGUUCUGACAAACCAGCCAGCGCCCAGCCCAGCUCGUUUCCCCACAGAGAUGCUGCCCUGCAGAACUCAGCAGGGCUGCAUCACACUCCCAAGCACCUCAGCCAUCCGGCAAAUGUUCAUCUGAUCAUUCCCAUAGUUCACAAAUCCCCUCCAGGCUGGGCACAAGGUAAGCACAAAGUUUUUGCCAGGCCCGCACUUUUGCUUUUCCCAUUCCACGCCAUGUGAAUCGUUUCUGUUUCCCAGCACCAAGGAGUUAAUGGAAGAAAGAACUACCGUGGCAUGUGCUCCGUGCAAGGACUAUGUGUGUUUGGUGGUCGGAGCUGCUGAGCGUUCCUAAGUCCAGGUGAAAUCAGUGGGAGCGACGUGCGCUCAGCAUCUCGGGAAGCUGCCAGCAGGCCUUUUGAGCAUUGCACUGCUCGCUCAUCGGUCUAUCUGCUCCCUGUGCCAUACAGCGAGACACCCGGCUCCUCGAACAUGCUCAGUAAAGUUACUACUGAGAAAGACCCUUACACAAAUCCAUGAUGCAGAACAAAAAUGAAAGAAGAAGAUAAACUCCAGUGAUGUCUGGAAAUAUCUCGACAAGGAGAAAUACAGACUACAAUAAAGAU